rnacentral:rRNA from 1 species
GACGAACGCUGGCGGCGUGCUUAACACAUGCAAGUCGAACGGAAAGGCCCUGCUUUUGUGGGGUGCUCGAGUGGCGAACGGGUGAGUAACCCGUGAGUAACCUGCCCCUGACCUUGGGAUAUCUUCAUGCAACUGGGGGUAAUCACGGCUAGGAGCUCUUGCUGUUUGGUGGGGGUUGGAUAGUUUAGGCGGUUGGGGGUGGACUGGCGGCUGAUCAGGUUGUUGGUGGGGUGGUGGCUUACCAUGGCCUUGACGGGUAGCCGACCUGAGCGGGGGACCGGCCACACUAGGAUUGGGAUGCGGCACAGCCUCCUACGGGAGGCAGCAGUGGAGAGGAGUGCACAAGGGGAGGAAGCCUGAUGUGGCAACGCCGCGUGCGGGAUGACGGCCAUCGGGUUGUAUACCAAUUCCGCCUUUGACGAGACGUGAAUGACGGUAAUGGGUAAAGAAGCACCGGCUAACUACGUG